UGGGGAAUUUUGGACAAUGGGCGAAAGCCUGAUCCAGCAAUGCCGCGUGUGUGAAGAAGGCCUUCGGGUUGUAAAGCACUUUUGUCCGGAAAGAAAUCCUUGGCUCUAAUACAGUCGGGGGAUGACGGUACCGGAAGAAUAAGCACCGGCUAACUACGUGCCAGCAGCCGCGGUAAUACGUAGGGUGCAAGCGUUAAUCGGAAUUACUGGGCGUAAAGCGUGCGCAGGCGGUUUGCUAAGACCGAUGUGAAAUCCCCGGGCUCAACCUGGGAACUGCAUUGGUGACUGGCAGGCUAGAGUAUGGCAGAGGGGGGUAGAAUUCCACGUGUAGCAGUGAAAUGCGUAGAGAUGUGGAGGAAUACCGAUGGCGAAGGCAGCCCCCUGGGCCAAUACUGACGCUCAUGCACGAAAGCGUGGGGGAGCAAAGCAGGAUUAGAUACCCUGGUAGUCCACGCCCUAAACGAUGUCAACUAGUUGUUGGGGAUUCAUUUCCUUAGUAACGUAGCUAACGCGUGAAGUUGACCGCCUGGGGAGUACGGUCGCAAGAUUAAAACUCAAAGGAAUUGACGGGGUCAUAGCUGUUUCCU
rnacentral:rRNA from 1 species